AGGCAGCUGUGGGGAAUAUUGCACAAUGGGCGCAAGCCUGAUGCAGCCAUGCCGCGUGUGUGAAGAAGGCCUUCGGGUUGUAAAGCGCUUUAAGUUGGGAGGAAGGGCAGUAAGCGAAUACCUUGCUGUUUUGACGUUACCAACAGAAUAAGCACCGGCUAACUCUGUGCCAGCAGCCGCGGUAA
rnacentral:rRNA from 1 species